GCGCGCCGUCCUGGCGGGAGGCGGCGUGGCGGCUCUUCAGAGUGUUGGUUCCGCGCGGGCCAGGGCGGGCGAUGCUUCCGCCCUGGAUGUCCCGAGCGGAGGAAGGAAGCUGCAAUACAGCGACGCGCCGUUUCCCGCCGGGGGUAAUGCGCUUCACGCCCCUGCUCCGAUCUCUUGGGUGGCCCUGGCUGGAGCCACCCGCCGUCAGGCUCGCUGCCCCCCGCGUGGGCUGGGCGUGCGGCUCCGGCCGGGAUAACGGCUCCUGCCUCCAGGAAACCGUCGCCGUGUCAGCCCCGCGGCUCGGUUAACCGGAUCUAUUGGGGGUGGAACUCCUCUGUGACACUGGCAACAACGGUGCUGCGUCGCCACCUCGCUCCCUGGGACGGGGGCCCCCUCGAGGGAAUGAGGCACUCUUAGAACAACACACCUUUGGAGGGGCUGUCAUCUGUUUGUUUGUCCUUCCUUGGAUUCAGCUGGACAUUAAGUGGCACUGGUAGAAGGCCCAGUAAAAUUGGCAUGACUGGGAUAAAGCAGCCACUCCUUACUGCUUUACCAGCGGUUUGGAAGCUGUUUAUGCAUAUAAUUUGUCAUUCCCUUCCCUCAGUGUGGAGCAUGUAAAUCCUCCAAGAGACUUGUUUUCUCAAUGGAACUUCAGGGCCUAUGGUUUCAACCCUCGUAAACAAUGCUUUAAGCAGUAUUAAUUCCCACAGAAAUCCAGGAGAUGUCACUAGCUGACCCAGUCACCACCUGUCUUUCCCCUGCAGUGCAUUACAUGGUUUGCAAACUUGGAUUUGAGAUAGAAGACAGCCAUGCAGUUCAUAGUAUUGUAUCUGAAAAUGGUGACAUAUGUUGGAGAACAAUCACAGAGCUUGUGCAUUACCGUGAAUCAGGUCAGUGUUUGCUUUAGAUCUGUUGUGUGUUAUGUGUCUGAAACCAAAAACACAAUGCAAUUUGAGGUAAACCUAGCAUGGUUAGGACAUUGUAUUAUAGUACAUCAACAGCUGCGUCACAGGUUGUGUUACAGAAUUCACUUUUAAAAAGAGCUUUAAAUCUUUAUUGGGGGAAGAGGGUAAACACAAAACUCCAUUGAAAUGGUAAAAACCAAAACACAGAAUAUAUACUUUAAAUGCUAUCUGAUUUUUUUUUUUUUUAAAUCAUAGUGGCUGGAUGAAAAAUCAAUUGGUACAGAGAGAAUAAGUUUAAAAAUCACUUCUCAUGGAUUUCCC